GAGGUUGGGUGAGAAAGAGACGUGUUUCAUCAUUAUCAAGCAGGUACAAUAGCCCCAAGGGGGCAAGGCUGAAGAGGUUAGGAUGAGAAAAAAAUCGUAUAAAAGGAGCGAGAGAAAGCGACUGAAAGCAGUUGAGAGAGUACCACCGACACGGCAACAACUGCAGUGCUCCAUCUGUCACCAACUGCGUUCCUCAUCGUGUAACAUAUACGUAAUCACGGUUAACCAUGGAGUUGUGCUGCUGUUGGGUGUUGUAUCGUUGAUGGCUGGGUCGAAUACGAGGUUACCGAAUACCGAUGUCUCCUGAGUGGUGAAUAUCAAUUAUCAAGCAACAGCAGCCCAAGAAUAGUACACGACGUUGCCGCCUUAACACACAAUAACGUCAACAUACGCAACACCUAUCCUACUUACACUACUGAGCGUUAACUUGUUAAGUACUACACCACCAAGGCUCCAGAGUACUACACGAAAACUGACUACGCUGCUCUACCUUACUGUAAUGAUUCACCGAAGUACUAUUCUGAUCAUAGCGACUACACCGAAGAUGCAACUUACUACACCACCAAAGCAGUUGAGUACUACACCAAAGCGUCCAAGUACUACACUGCAACCUACUGCAGCGCACUAUUUGUCAUUAACUGCCUUCUUCGUCGUAUGCAAUCAGUUGGCAAUCAUUGGUAUGGCGGUGUGCUGCUGUUGGGUGUUGCAUCGUUGAUGGCUGGGUCGACCACUGGUGUAACAAUGUCCCCUGAGAAUGGUGGGUAGCAAACCGCAACACCGCCGCAUUACUACACAACAACCUACUUAAAGACCGAGGCCCUCAAUUACUACACCACUAAGGCAAAGGAGUAUUAUACCACUACUUACGCUGGCCCUAGCUACUACACCGACGCCCCGAAGUAUUAUUCUGUCCCAAGCUACACCACCAAGGCUCCCAAGUACUACACCGAGGCCCAUUAUUACUACAACACCGAAGCGCUCAAGUACUGCACUGCUACCCACACUGCCCGAGCAACUACACCGAAGCCAGAAGAGCCGAAGCCGAAGAGACCAAAUACUACACUGCAACCUACGCUGCCCCAGCUUACACCAGCAAGGCAGCGGAGUACUACACCAGCAAGGCAGCGGAGUACUACACCAGCAAGGCAGCGGAGUACUACACCAGCAAGGCAGCGGAGUACUACACC